UACGGGGGGAGCAAGCGUUGUUCGGAUUUACUGGGCGUAAAGGGCGCGUAGGCGGUCAGCACAAGUCAGUUGUGAAAUCUCCGGGCUUAACCCGGAAAGGUCAACUGAUACUGUGCGACUAGAGUGCAGAAGGGGCAACUGGAAUUCUCGGUGUAGCGGUGAAAUGCGUAGAGAUCCGGAAGAACACCGGUGGCGAAGGCGGUUAGCUGGGCAGUUGCUGGACACUGAGGCGCGACAGCGUGGGGAGCAAACAGG
rnacentral:rRNA from 1 species